GGGCAGUGUGGCUGCCCUGCCCUCAGUUCUAAGGACUCUGCUGCACCUGCUGUGAGAUUGGGUGGGUGUCUGUGUUGCUUGGACUUCUGAGUCCCAGUCGGCUCAUGGUCAGGGGCCCCAGGCAGCCAGUGGUCGGGCUCCUGUGGAUCAGGUUGGGGGAACGGCUGGCAGAGGGGCCCAGGAACCUCCAGAUCACUGUCACUGGGAUGGUCGGCAUCCAUGUGGCUCCUGGAGACAGCGUGCAUCUCUGGGUGGCCUCAGGCAGUGCUGGGCAAGUGCCCUGGUUUUUGUGGAGUGAGGAUGGAGUUUGCACCACUGUGAUUAUUAUGGUAUAGACUACUGGGGCCAGGGGACCCUGGUCACCGUCUCCUCAGCGGACCCAGUCAGCCCCAGGUCCUUCCCACUGAGUCUCCAAAGCACUGACCCAGCCGGUCAUGUAGUCAUUGGCUGCUUGGUCCAGGAUUUCUUUCCCCCGGGGUCCGUGAACGUGACCUGGGACCACAAUGGGAAAGGCACCUCCAUCAUGAACUUCCCCCCUGUGCAAGUUGCUGGGGGCCUCUACACCAUGAGCAGCCAGCUGACCCUACCCGCUGACCAGUGCCCAAAGAAAGGAACUCAGAAAUGCCACGUGAAGUACAACUCCAAUCCAAGCCAGGCUGUGGAUGUGCCCUGCUCCACAGGAGCAAAGUGUUGUCCACAGUCAUGCUGCCAGCCCCACCUGACAAUGCAUCGGCCUGCUCUCGAGGACCUGCUCUUAGGCUUCAAUGCCAACAUCACGUGCACACUGAGUGGCCUACAAGACCCCAAGGGUGUCACGUUCACCUGGAAGCCCACAGGUGGGAAGGAGGCUAUCCAGGGGACAGCUGAGCGUGACUCCUUUGGCUGCUACAGCGUGUCCAGCAUUCUGCCAGGCUGUGCCGAGCUGUGGAACCGUGGGGACACCUUCUCAUGCACUGUCAACUAUCCUGAGUCUAAAACCCCACUAACUGCCACCAUCACCAAACCAUCAGGGAACCUCCUGCUGCCCCAGGUCCACCUGCUGCCACCACCCUCAGAGGAGCUGGCCCUCAAUGAGAUGGUGACACUGACAUGCUUGGUGCGGGGCUUCAGCCCCCGUGACGUGCUAGUGCUGUGGCUGCACGGGGACCAGGAGCUGCCCCGAGAUAAGUACUUGACCUGGAGCCCCCUGCAGGAGGACGCCCAAGGCACCACAUUUGCUGUGACCAGUGUGCUGCGUGUGGAGGCUGAGCAGUGGAAGAAUGGGGACAACUUCUCCUGCAUGGUGGGCCAUGAGGCCCUGCCCCGGAACUUCACCCAGAAGACCAUCGACCGCCUGGCGGGUAAACCCACCCACGUCAACGUGUCUGUAAUCUUGUCGGAGGUGGAGGGCACCUGCUACUGAGCAGCCCCACCUGCCCACCUUACCCUUGAAUAAACUCCAUGCUGGCUCAAAGCA